UACGGGGGGGGCAAGCGUUGCUCGGAAUUACUGGGUGUAAAGGGUUCGUAGGCGGUGUGGCAAGUCGGGAGUGAAAUCUCUGGGCUCAACCCAGGGGCUGCUUCCGAAACUGCCGUGCUAGAGUGUGGGAGAGGCGCGUGGAAUUGCAGGUGUAGCGGUGAAAUGCGUAGAGAUCGGAAAGAACACCAACGGCGAAAGCACUCUGCUGGGCCGACACUGACACUGAGAGACGAAAGCUAGGGGAGCGAAUGGG
rnacentral:rRNA from 1 species